rnacentral:rRNA from 1 species
UACGUAGGGGCCAAGCGUUGUCCGGAUUUAUUGGGCGUAAAGAGCUCGUAGGCGGUUCGGCAAGUCAGCUGUGAAAUCUCCACGCUCAACGUGGAGGGGUCAGCUGAUACUGCUGUGACUUGAGUCCGGUAGGGGAGUGUGGAAUUCCCGGUGUAGCGGUGAAAUGCGCAGAUAUCGGGAGGAACACCAGUAGCGAAGGCGGCACUCUGGGCCGGUACUGACGCUGGGGGAGCGAAAGCGUGGGGAGCAAACAGG